rnacentral:lncRNA from 10 species
GGCACAUUACCUAUCUGACAUGAAGAAAAAAUAAAAUAAACAAAAACAUUAAUAUCCACUACAAAGUCCCAUCUCAAAUAUCACUUCUGUGAAGGCAUACCUGACUCCUCUCACUUCCAAGGUUCUACAAGUUUGCCUCAUGGAAGGGAGCCAAUAUGAUCUGAGCACCUGCAGAUAAGAGAAAAGGCACUUGAGGAGGAGUGGUUGAGUUAGAUGAACCAGCUGCUUCUGAAGAAGGGGCAGACGUAUGUACGUUUUAAAGCUGAGAGCUGUGAAGGAAGAAAGAGCCCCUAAAAGACAGGAAUAAGAAGACACA